rnacentral:ncRNA from 1 species
CGAAGUUUUUUUUUGGGCAUGAAAUUAUGAUUUAAUUGGAAAAUUGCGUAUAUAAUUUGGGGCUUGGGUUUUAUACUAAUAUUUUUAAAUAAAAAUUGCUUGUAGUAAUUAAUUUUGUGUUAAUUCAUGAAUUGUGGAAUACAGGGAUAGCUUAAGGUUCUAACAAAGCUUGUGCCAGCAGUUGCGGUUAUACAAGCAGAGCAAUGCAAUUCAUGUGGUUAUUAGUUAAUUGUGAUAUAAAAAUUAAUAUUUUAAUUUAAAGGUGAAAUUUGAAUUAUAAGUUAGGAUAAAAUUUGUAUAAAUGAUACUAUGAAAACUUGGUGAUUAAACCAGGAUUAGAUACCCUGUUAUUUAAGUUGUAAAGUAGUUUAUACUGGAUUAUUAUUAGUUAGGUUCUUGAAAAUUAAAUUUCUUGGCGGUAUUUCAACUUGUUAGAGGAAUCUGUCUUGUAAUUGAUAAUACACGAUUAAUUUUAUUUCUAUUAAUGCUUGUAUAUCGUUGUUGUAAGAAUAUUUUUAGAAAAAGUGAAUGUUCAUUUAGUUUGAAUUAAUAUUUAGAUCAGAUCAAGGUGCAGCUUUUGGAAGAUUUAGAUGGAUUACAUUAAUUUUAUCAAAAUUAAAAAUUUUGUUCUAUAAGGAUUUAAAAGUAAUUUUAUAUAAUUAUUAUAAAGUGAAUUGAGCUCUGAAAUACGCACAUAUUGCCCGUCGCUUUUAUUGUUUAGAUAAAAUAAGUCGUAACAUAGUAGGCCUACCGGAAGGUGGGCCUAGAUUAAA